UUUAAAUACAAUAAUUACUUGUAAUUAAAUAUUAUUCAAAAAAUUUAAUUAUACAAAAUAUUUAAAAGAUAUCUCUUCGUAAAAGACAGAUAUAAAAUAAAUUGGUUUAAACUUCUUUUUGGUCUCUAAGUUAUGAGCGGAUGUUCAGUUUAGUCCCCGCUUUUAAAAAUGUAAACCUUUGAUUCCUAAGUUAUAAAAAAUGUAUCAAAUGAGUCAUUUUUUGAUGUUCAUGAUCAAAGUACAAAGAGCAAUUUAAA
rnacentral:lncRNA from 1 species